CCUACGGGAGGCAGCAGUGGGGAAUAUUGGACAAUGGAGGAAACUCUGACCCAGCAACGCCGCGUGAAGGAUGAAGGUUUUCGGGUUGUAAACUUCUGUCGCUAGGGAUGAAGAAUGACGGUACCUCGUAAGAAAUCCCCGGCGAACUACGCGCCAGCAGCCGCGGUAAUACGUGGGGGACGAGCGUUGUCCGGAAUGACUGGGCGUAAAGGGAGUGUAGGCGGCAUAUUAAGUUAGGUGUGAAAGCCCGGGGCUUAACCGCGGAAUUGCACAUAAAACUGGUUAGCUAGAGUGCAGGAGAGGUAAGUGGAAUUCCCGGUGUAGCGGUGGAAUGCGUAGAGAUGGGGAGGAAUACCAGAGGCGAAGGCGACCUCCUGGAAUGUAACUGACGCUGAGGCUCGAAAGCGUGGGGAGCAAACAGGAUUAGAUACCCGUGUAGUC
rnacentral:rRNA from 1 species